ACAUGCAUACUUCACACUACUCUUAUAAUUAUAUCUACAAUCAUCUCUUACAAUUCUAAUCACUCUAAACUUUAUUUGAGUGGUCCAUUGUUACACACAUCUACAAUAAAGCAUGCAAUAUUAGUUAAAAUAUGCAAUAUUAGUUAAAACAUGCAAGAUGAUCUCAACACACACAAAAUCCCUUGAGAAUCAAUCUGAAUUCUCUACUGCCUUCAAUGAUCACAAUGUGUGUUUGCAACAGUUGAAUGAUCAAAUCUGUGAAUGAGAGCAGCAAUUAGCUAUUCUGCAUGCACAACAGUGACUCAAUAAAUUGAAAGUGCAGAUUCAUGAAAAUACUUUCAUUGAAUCUCAAUUAACUCAGAAUAUCAUCACAGAAUCACUGCAAAAUUAAUCUGUGAAUGAUACAGAUAAUGAUAAUGAAACAUCACUGAAAUUGAAGAUUAAGAACUAUUAUCAAGAAAAAAAUAUGUUAGAAUUCAAGAACUAUAAAGAUUGUAUAUUGACUUUUUUUACAUAUCACUACUGAUAUUAUUGAAAAAAAGAAUACAAGAUAAAUGAUGUUAAACUCUAUCUUGACACUCAUAUUAAGCAGAAAUGAUUGAAUUUUGUAUCAUUGUAUAAGAGAUGUGAAGAAGCAAUACUGUUGACUUUUAAUGAUAUACUAUCACAUCUAGAGAUGCAAAUUAACAAUCCACAGAACCAGCACUGAUUGACAAAUCAAAAGUUUCAAAAUACAAAACAACAAAAAUAGCAAUUGAUAUAUGAUUUCUCUAAAUAUCUUGAAGACUGAGAAUACUACUUACCCUCAUAUAGCAAAGAACAAAGAAUGGAUAACUUGUAUAGUAAGAUGUUGAAGAUAUUACACACAGAAUUUGACUAUUGAAAUCAAAAGCCUCAGAACUAUGAAGAGUUGCUUUGAACUCUACAGACUCUCAAGAAAAAUAUAUCAGAGUAAUGAUGUGCUAUUCACAAAGAAAGAUCUGUGAUAUUUGUAGAGAAUCAGCAUCAUUCUGAUAAAUCUAGCAACUGUUGAAACAAGAGAAAAUGAGAGAAAUAAAUGAGUUCAACUGAAUAAAUCAAGAAAGAUAAAUAUAACUGAAUGAAGAAAUAUUCUCAUUGUCAUAAGAAGAAUCAUAUUACAAAUGAUUGUUGAAUGUUACACUCUGAAAAAUGCAAUCAAGUUUGAUAAGCAAAAAAUCAAUAAUUUCAAUUGUAGAAGCAGCUACUGCAUUGAGAAUAUGAACAACUAGACUGUG
rnacentral:sRNA from 1 species